UACGUAGGUGGCAAGCGUUGUCCGGAUUUACUGGGUGUAAAGGGCGUGUAGCCGGGUUGACAAGUCAGAUGUGAAAUCCUGCGGCUUAACCGCAGAACUGCAUUUGAAACUGUUGAUCUUGAGUACUGGAGGGGCAGACGGAAUUCCUAGUGUAGCGGUGAAAUGCGUAGAUAUUAGGAGGAACACCAGUGGCGAAGGCGGUCUGCUGGACAGCAACUGACGGUGAGGCGCGAAAGCGUGGGGAGCAAACAGG
rnacentral:rRNA from 1 species